rnacentral:rRNA from 1 species
GACGAACGCUGGCGGCGUGCCUAAUACAUGCAAGUCGAACGCCCUCGACCUUCGGGUCAUAUGAGGGAGUGGCGAACGGGUGCGUAACACGUGAGAAACCUGCCCUAGAGACGGGAAUAACUCGAGGAAACUCGUGCUAAUGCCCGAUGCCCUCUUCGGACCGCAUGGUCCAUUGAGGAAAGGCUCCGGCGCUCUAGGAGGGUCUCGCGGCCUAUCAGCUUGUUGGUGAGGUAACGGCUCACCAAGGCAUCGACGGGUAGCUGGUCUGAGAGGACGAUCAGCCACACUGGGACUGAGACACGGCCCAGACUCCUACGGGAGGCAGCAGUAGGGAAUCUUGCGCAAUGGGCGAAAGCCUGACGCAGCAACGCCGCGUGGGGGAUGAAGGCCUUCGGGUCGUAAACCCCUUUCAGCAGGGACGAAAAUGACGGUACCUGCAGAAGAAGGUCCGGCCAACUACGUGCCAGCCGCCGCGGUAACAC